rnacentral:rRNA from 1 species
GACGAACGCUGGCGGCGUGCUUAACACAUGCAAGUCGAACGGAAAGGCCCUGCUUUUGUGGGGUGCUCGAGUGGCGAACGGGUGAGUAACACGUGAGUAACCUGCCCUUGACUUUGGGAUAACUUCAGGAAACUGGGGCUAAUACCGGAUAGGAGCUCCUGCUGCAUGGUGGGGGUUGGAAAGUUUCGGCGGUUGGGGAUGGACUCGCGGCUUAUCAGCUUGUUGGUGGGGUAGUGGCUUACCAAGGCUUUGACGGGUAGCCGGCCUGAGAGGGUGACCGGCCACAUUGGGACUGAGGUGCGGCCCAGACUGCUACGGGAGGCAGCAGUGGGGAAUAUUGCACAAUGGGCGGAGGCCGGAUGCAGCAACGCCGCGUGCGGGAUGACGGCCUUCGGGUUGUAAACCGCUUUCGCCUGUGACGAAGCGUGAGUGACGGUAAUGGGUAAAGAAGCACCGGCUAACUACGUG